ACACAAGCUCUUUUUAUUUUACAGGAACUGAGACAAAUGAGGAAAAACAGGGCAGGGAGAGGACAGGGUAAAAGAAAAUUAAAAACUGACAGCAUUCCAUUUUAACCCAAUUCUAGAUACAAGUGUACCUUGGAGAUUUCACAUGCAUGAAGUUCAUCUCACACAGCCUAGUCUGAUUGGUAUACAUCAGCACAGAUUACAUAUCCUAAUACAAAUUUAUACAAGUUGAAAAAGUCAUCCCCUAAUUUUAAAAAGCUUACAAAAGCAGAAUUCCUUUAACGGGUCAGAUACUACAAACAACAUCGGCUCAACAGGCAAGAUUCAGUGUUUACCUUAUAUUCAUGAUUCUGACAGUCACAACUAGCACUGUUUCUUCACCCAAGAAAUUUCUCUAAAGGUCAAGCCUGAUAGGGAAGGGAGUGGAAAUAACAAAAGCACGUUUUCUUGCACAAUUUUUCUCAUUAAGAUUAUUAGAAUAUGGUCUUUUCACAGCAAAGAAAAGAAAAAUAACAACAGAAUAUCUUGUAGUAAUCAAUAGGGUUCAGUCUUACAUCACUGAAAUGAGCAGAACAAUCUGUUUCUUUGAGCCAGUCUGUUAACAAAGAAUGGUUUAAAAUAAUCACAGACAGAACACCCACAAAACUUGUUUCAGGAGCAUCUUAAAAGCAGAAAACAUACGAUCUGAAAGCAGAAGCUGAGCAUCAGACAUACCACCAAUACCCAUUCAUGUAAAUCAAGUCUGCCAAAUCUAAUUCUGUGAAUAUUAAGUAGAGUUAUUAACAGUCUUAAUUACACACACACAAAAAAAACCUCCUCUCCCCCCUCACACACACCCCCAUGUAACCAGGGAGUAAAAACCUCAGAGACACUCUUUAAUUUAUAGAAGGUUUUAAAUAUCUGUAAAAUGAAGGAGUAGCUACAAUGUGUAUUUUUUCAGUUCUCUUGCACAGUGGAUUUUUAUCACAUUUCUUCUUCAGUAAAAGCCCACAAAAAAAGCAAGAGAAUUCCUUCAACACUUCAUCCACGUUUUUUAUCAUCCUUCUAAAUUCUUGUUUGCCAUCACUGAGUAUUAUUUUAGCAAGCAGCCAUUCUGUGAGCCUCUAUAUCCUAUAUUAGCUCAGAUGUAGAAUUCCAUUUACAUGCCUUACAGAAGGAUGACAGAGCUGAAUCCAUACCCAGUAGUUUGUGCCACAUUA
rnacentral:lncRNA from 1 species